AGAGUUUGAUCCUGGCUCAGGACUAACGCUGGCGGCGUGCCUAACACAUGCAAGUCGAGCGGGGUAGCAAUACCCAGCGGCAGACGGGUGAGUAACACGUAGUCAACCUUCCCGACAGUGGGGGAUAACUAGCCGAAAGGUUAGCUAAUACCGCAUGUGAUCUUCGAGAGGCAUCUCUUGACGAUCAAAGCAGCAAUGCGCUUAGAGACGGGACUGCGUCCCAUUAGCUAGUUGGUGGGGUAAUGGCCUACCAAGGCACCGAUGGGUAGCUGGCUUGAGAGAGCGACCAGCCACACUGGAACUGAGACACGGUCCAGACUCCUACGGGAGGCAGCAGUGAGGAAUUUUCCGCAAUGGGGGCAACUCUGACGGAGCAACGCCGCGUGCAGGAAGACGGCCUUCGGGUUGUAAACUGCUUUUCUGUGGGAAGAGCAAGGACGGUACCACAGGAACAAGCCCCGGCUAACUACGUGCCAGCAGCCGCGGUAAUACGUAGGGGGCGAGCGUUGUCCGGAGUUACUGGGCGUAAAGGGCACGCAGGCGGUUGUGUCAGUUUGCGGGGACAGUGGGCGGCUUAACUGCCCAAGGGUCGCAAAGACGGCACGACUAAGAGAGCGAGAGAGGGACCUGGAACUCCGGGUGGAGCGGUGAAAUGCGUAGAGAUCCGGAAGAACACCACUGGCGAAGGCAAGGUCCUGGCUCGUAUCUGACGCUGAGGUGCGAAAGCUAGGGGAGCGAACGGGAUUAGAUACCCCGGUAGUCCUAGCCGUAAACGAUGACCACUAGAUGUGGGAGGUAUCGACCCCUUCCGUGUCGUAGUUAACACGAUCAGUGGUCCGCCUGGGGAGUACGGUCGCAAGAUUAAAACUCAAAGGAAUUGACGG
rnacentral:rRNA from 1 species